UCUCCGUAGGUGAACCUGCGGAGGGAUCAUUACAGAGUUCUCGCCCUCACGGGUAGAUCUCCCACCACUGUUAUCGUUACUGUCGUUUCUUUGGCGGGCCGCCGGGUCCCCGGCCGCCGGCGCCUAGCUGCCGGCGCGCGCCCGCCAGAGGCCUUCAAACUCUGAAUGUUAGUGUCGUCUGAGUACUAUAUAAUAGUUAAAACUUUCAACAACGGAUCUCUUGGUUCUGGCAUCGAUGAAGAGCGCAGC
rnacentral:misc_RNA from 1 species